GGGGUAAUAGCUCAGUAGUAGAGUGCAUGCUUAGCAUGCACAAGGUCCUGGGUUCAAUACCCAGUACUUCCA
rnacentral:tRNA from 1 species